AUGGGAAGAGGUAUGGCAAGCAGUGGUGAUUUGAGGUUUGGAAGAGAAAUAGACACCUCAAGUGGCUUCACAUCAGGUCUAUGCUUUUUCCCUAACUCCUCUUCAGAUUCAUCAUCAGAGAAGGGAGGAAAAUCAAUACCAUCAGUUUGUUUCAAAUGGUUUAGGAUUGUGGGAACGAAAAGAAUGGAAGUAUUGUGCUGCAAGUGUUAUGGACAAAAAAAAUUAUCUGCAGGGCUAGUUGAAUUGCAUGUUCUAUGUGCACACUGUGAGCUGUUUUUAUUCUAUAAGCAACUUAAAGAUACCGCAGAAUGA